rnacentral:rRNA from 1 species
UACAGAGGUCUCAAGCGUUGUUCGGAUUCAUUGGGCGUAAAGGGUGUGUAGGUGGCGCGCUAAGUCGGGUGUGAAAUUUCGGAGCUUAACUCCGAAACUGCAUUCGAUACUGGCGUGCUUGAGGACUGGAGGGGAGACUGGAAUUCAUGGUGUAGCAGUGAAAUGCGUAGAGAUCAUGAGGAAGACCAGUGGCGAAGGCGGGUCUCUGGACAGUUCCUGACACUGAGACACGAAGGCCAGGGGAGCAAACGGG